rnacentral:rRNA from 1 species
ACGGGGACCCCAAGCGUUGUUCGGAAUCACUGGGCUUAAAGCGCGUGUAGGCGGACCGGCAAGUACUAUGUGAAAGCCCCGGCUUCAACCCGGGAAUUGCUUGGUAUACUGCCGGUCUUGAGGCAGGUAGGGGUGACUGGAACCUUAGGUGGAGCGGUGAAAUGCGUAGAUAUCUAAGGGAACGCCUGUGGCGAAGGCGGGUCACUGGGCCUGUCCUGACGCUGAGACGCGAAAGCGUAGGGAGCAAACGG